UACAGAGGAGCCAAGCGUUGUCCGGAUUGACUGGGCGUAAAGCGCACGCAGGCGGUGCUGCGCGUGGGGUGUGAAAUCUGGCCGCUUAACGGCCAGGCGCCAUCCCAUACGGCAGCACUGGAGGGCUGCAGAGGUCGAUGGAAUUGCCGGUGUAGUGGUGAAAUGCGUAGAUAUCGGGAGGAACACCAGUGGCGAAGGCGACUACCUGGCCCAUUCUUGACGCUGAGGCGCGAAAGCUAGGGGAGCGAACGGG
rnacentral:rRNA from 1 species